rnacentral:rRNA from 1 species
GGGCUCACACAAGCGGUGGAGCAUGUUGUUUAAUUCGAUGCAACGCGAAGAACCUUACCUGGGCUUGACAUUCAUGUGGUACCAAACCGAAAGGGGCGGGACCGUCUUUUGGCGGAGCAUGAACAGGUAUUGCAUGGCUGUCGUCAGCUCGUGUCGUGAGAUGUUGGGUUAAGUCCCGUAACGAGCGCAACCCUUAUCCUUAGUUGCCAGCACAUAAUGGUGGGGACUCUAGGGAGACUGCCGGUGUCAAACCGGAGGAAGGCGGGGACGACGUCAAGUCAUCAUGGUCCUUACGCCCAGGGCCACAAACGUGCUACAAUGGUCGGUACAAUGAGCAGCAAAGCCGUGAGGUGGAGCAAAUCUCAAAAAGCCGGCCCCAGUUCGGAUUGAAGGCUGCAAUUCGCCUACGUGAAGGCGGAAUCGCUAGUAAUCGCAGGUC